rnacentral:misc_RNA from 1 species
UAAUAAGUGUUUUAUGGCACUUUUUAAAUCCAUAUCCACCCUGUGUGCAAUGUCAGUCGAUCUUCUUCAUGGAGAUCGACCAAACAUCAACCUUUAUCUUUUAACUCUUUGUCUUAAAAAUAUUAUGAAUAAACAAUUCAAAAUA